rnacentral:rRNA from 1 species
UACGUAGGGGGCAAGCGUUGUCCGGAAUCAUUGGGCGUAAAGAGCGUGUAGGCGGCCCGAUAAGUCCGCCGUGAAAGUCCAGGGCUCAACCCUGGGAUGCCGGUGGAAACUGUCGGGCUAGAGUCCGGAAGAGGCGAGUGGAAUUCCUGGUGUAGCGGUGAAAUGCGCAGAUAUCGGGAGGAACACCAAUUGCGAAGGCAGCUCGCUGGGACGUUACUGACGCUGAGACGCGAAAGCGUGGGGAACAAACAGG